UUUUAGACUUGCUCUGCAUGUCGGGCUCCCUGCACUUUGGUGCGGCCAACCGACAUGGGGCUGUCUCUUCACUCUCCCUCCCGUCGUCAAUUUUUUCGGGAUUGGGAUGCUCGUGAUCGGUUGCCUGUGUGGAUCUACCCUCUCGUUGGUAGCGAAGUCGUCCCUUGAUGGAUAUUUGCUUGCCCAGCUGACAUUGUUUUGUCGCUUGGUCAGCCGAAAUGUUGGCAGAAUCCUUGUGUUGUUGCGUGGUGGAAUGCCUUGCUGCUAUCGCUUGGAUUUUUGCCGGCUCUAACGGAUGCGGUGCCUAUUGCAAGCUCUGCGGGCCUCCGUCCCGCAGACUUCGGGAGGUCCCUUGUACGGGAACAUUGCUCUUGCGUGCGUUUGUCGUGUCGUCGGUGGCGACACGCGAAUUAAGUUUUGCCGUGUUGUCGGUGGCGACACGUCAAAACUGGGUGUGCGGAGCGUGCUCACGUGCAUGCGGAGUGCCUCUUCGUUCGUUUGUAUGAGCAGCGAUUUCCGGUUUGCGUCAUGCGAAGGCCCGCCCAUCUACAUGGGUUGGUGCUGGAGCUGAUGCGCCGGCUCUCGUUUAAGACGUGC
rnacentral:misc_RNA from 1 species